rnacentral:rRNA from 1 species
AUUACCGAAGCUGUGGAUUGUCCGUAGGACAAUGGUAGGAGAGCGUUCUAAGGGCGUCGAAGCAUGAUCGCAAGGACAUGUGGAGCGCUUAGAAGUGAGAAUGCCGGUGUGAGUAGCGAAAGACGGGUGAGAAUCCCGUCCACCGAUUGACUAAGGUUUCCAGAGGAAGGCUCGUCCGCUCUGGGUUAGUCGGGUCCUAAGCUGAGGCCGACAGGCGUAGGCGAUGGAUAACAGGUUGAUAUUCCUGUACCACCUAGUAUCGUUUUAAUCGAUGGGGGGACGCAGUAGGAUAGGCGAAGCGUGCUAUUGGAUUGCACGUCCAAGCAGUAAGACUGAGUGUUAGGCAAAUCCGGCACUCAUAAGGUCAAGCUGUGAUGGGGAGAGGAAAUUGUUUCCUCGAGUCGUUGAUUUCACACUGCCAAGAAAAGCCUCUA